UACGUAGGGGGCAAGCGUUGUCCGGAGUUACUGGGCGUAAAGCGCACGCAGUCGGUCUCUUAAGUUUGGCGUGACAGUUGGUGGCUUAACUGCCAAAGUGCUUCGAAAACUGAGAGACUUGAGGGCUUCAGAGGGACACGGAAUUCCGGGUGGAGUGGUGAAAUGCGUAGAGAUCCGGAGGAACACCAAAGGCGAAGGCAGUGUCCUGGGGAGUACCUGACGCUCAGGUGCGAAAGCCAGGGGAGCGAACGGG
rnacentral:rRNA from 1 species